GCCAUAUCACGUUGAAGCACCAGUUCCCGCACAAUCAACGUAGUUAAGAAAAGUCGAGCCUGGUCAGUACCUAGACGGGUGACCGUUUGGGAAUACCAGGUGCUGUAAG